CGCUGGCGGCAGGCUUAACACAUGCAAGUCGAGCGGAGAGAGGUAGCUUGCUACUGAUCUUAGCGGCGGACGGGUGAGUAAUGCUUAGGAAUCUGCCUAUUAGUGGGGGACAACAUCUCGAAAGGGAUGCUAAUACCGCAUACGUCCUACGGGAGAAAGCAGGGGAUCUUCGGACCUUGCGCUAAUAGAUGAGCCUAAGUCGGAUUAGCUAGUUGGUGGGGUAAAGGCCUACCAAGGCGACGAUCUGUAGCGGGUCUGAGAGGAUGAUCCGCCACACUGGGACUGAGACACGGCCCAGACUCCUACGGGAGGCAGCAGUGGGGAAUAUUGGACAAUGGGGGGAACCCUGAUCCAGCCAUGCCGCGUGUGUGAAGAAGGCCUUAUGGUUGUAAAGCACUUUAAGCGAGGAGGAGGCUACUUUAGUUAAUACCUAGAGAUAGUGGACGUUACUCGCAGAAUAAGCACCGGCUAACUCUGUGCCAGCAGCCGCGGUAAUACAGAGGGUGCAAGCGUUAAUCGGAUUUACUGGGCGUAAAGCGCGCGUAGGCGGCUAAUUAAGUCAAAUGUGAAAUCCCCGAGCUUAACUUGGGAAUUGCAUUCGAUACUGGUUAGCUAGAGUGUGGGAGAGGAUGGUAGAAUUCCAGGUGUAGCGGUGAAAUGCGUAGAGAUCUGGAGGAAUACCGAUGGCGAAGGCAGCCAUCUGGCCUAACACUGACGCUGAGGUGCGAAAGCAUGGGGAGCAAACAGGAUUAGAUACCCUGGUAGUCCAUGCCGUAAACGAUGUCUACUAGCCGUUGGGGCCUUUGAGGCUUUAGUGGCGCAGCUAACGCGAUAAGUAGACCGCCUGGGGAGUACGGUCGCAAGACUAAAACUCAAAUGAAUUGACGGGGGCCCGCACAAGCGGUGGAGCAUGUGGUUUAAUUCGAUGCAACGCGAAGAACCUUACCUGGCCUUGACAUAGUAAGAACUUUCCAGAGAUGGAUUGGUGCCUUCGGGAACUUACAUACAGGUGCUGCAUGGCUGUCGUCAGCUCGUGUCGUGAGAUGUUGGGUUAAGUC
rnacentral:rRNA from 1 species